rnacentral:rRNA from 1 species
AUUGAACGCUGGCGGCAUGCUUUACACAUGCAAGUCGAACGGUAACAGGCCGCGAGGUGCUGACGAGUGGCGAACGGGUGAGUAAUGCAUCGGAACGUGCCCAGUCGUGGGGGAUGACUACUCGAAAGAGUAGCUAAUACCGCAUACGAUCUAUGGAUGAAAGCGGGGGACCGUAAGGCCUCGCGCGAUUGGAGCGGCCGAUGUCAGAUUAGGUAGUUGGUGGGGUAAAGGCUCACCAAGCCAACGAGCUGUAGCUGGUCUGAGAGGACGACCAGCCACACUGGGACUGAGACACGGCCCAGACUACUACGGGAGGCAGCAGUGGGGAAUUUUGGACAAUGGGCGCAAGCCUGAUCCAGCAAUGCCGCGUGCAGGAAGAAGGCCUUCGGGUUGUAAACUGCUUUUGUACGGAACGAAACGGCUCUGGUUAAUACCCGGGGCUAAUGACGGUACCGUAAGAAUAAGCACCGGCUAACUACGUG